rnacentral:rRNA from 1 species
UACGAAGGGGGCUAGCGUUGCUCGGAAUGACUGGGCGUAAAGGGCGCGUAGGCGGCCACCGCAAGUCGACUGUGAAAUCUCCGGGCUUAACUCGGGAAGGUCAGCCGAUACUGCGGGGCUAGAGUGCAGAAGGGGCAACUGGAAUUCUCGGUGUAGCGGUGAAAUGCGUAGAUAUCGAGAGGAACACCUGCGGCGAAGGCGGGUUGCUGGGCUGACACUGACGCUGAUUGUGCGAAAGCUAGGGGAGCGAACGGG